rnacentral:rRNA from 1 species
AUGGUCGUUGGCGGAUCAUGCUUCACGCUUCACGAAGCAGCCCAUGGAAGAUGUCGCGGUGGUGGGCGAGCUGAGCAGGUUGGAGUACCAGCACGGCGCCACAACAAUUUGCCGUCCUUCCGGAUGGAGGACCUUCCCGUGGUAGCCACCAUGGACGCGGCCUCGGUGCUUCUCCCCAUCGUCCUGGCGCUGGUGGCGAUCCCGAUCUUGCUGGCGCUACUCGACUGGCUGCGCCUCCCGCCGGGCCCGUGCCCAUGGCCGGUGGUGGGCAACCUACGCCAGAUCAAGCACGUGCGGUGCCGCUGCUUCCAGGAGUGGGCGGAGUGGUACGGGCCAAUCUUCUCCGUGUGGUUCGGCUCCUCCCUCACCGUCGUCGUCUCCACGCCGGAGCUGGCCAAGGAAGUGCUCAAGGAGCACGACCAGCAGCUCGCCAACCGCACCCGGAACCGCUCCACCCAGCGCUUCAGCCGCAACGGCCAGGACCUCGUCUGGGCCGACUACGGCCCGCACUACAUCAAGGUGCGCAAGCUGUGCAAUCUCGAGCUCUUCACACAGAAGCGGCUCGAGGCGCUGCGCCCCAUCCGGGAGGACGAGGUCACUGCCAUGGUCGCGUCUGUCCACCGCGCCGCCAUCGGCCCCGGUAAUGAAGGAAAGCCAUUAGUUGUGAGGAGUCACCUUGCUAUGGUGUCUUUCAACAAUAUAACACGGCUAGUUUUUGGGAAGCGGUUCAUGAAUGCAAAUGGUGACAUUAACGAAGAAGGGCAGGAGUUCAAGAGUAUUGUCAACAACGGGAUAAAAAUAGGUGCAUCUCUCUCUAUUGCUGAAUAUGUUUGGUACUUGAGAUGGCUGUUUCCACUUAAUGAGGAGCUUUACAAGACCCACAAUGAGAGAAGGGAUCACCUGACCAAGAAGAUCAUAGAAGAGCAUGCGAAGGCCCUUAAGGAAAGUGGUGGCAAGCAUCAUUUCGUGCAUGCACUGUUGACUCUCAGAGAACAGUAUGACCUUAGUGAUGACACAGUUUUCGGACUUCUAUGGGACAUCAUCACUACUGGCAUGGAUACAACAGUCAUAUCAGUCGAGUGGGCAAUGGCAGAGCUGGUCAGGUAUCCCAGGGUGCAGAAGAAGCUGCAAGAGGAGUUGGACAGUGUCAUCGGCCGUGACCGCGUCAUGUCCGAGACCGACUUCCAAAAACUGCCGUACUUGCUAGCCGUCGUCAAGGUCGGCGCCUACAACAUCCCAAAGGGCGCUGAUGUCACGGUGAAUGUGUGGGCGAUCGCUCGCAAUCCCGAUGUGUGGAGCAACCCGCUGGAGUACAGGCCGGAGCGUUUCCUGGAGGAGAGCAUUGACAUCAAGGGUGGUGACUUCAGGGUGCUCCCCUUCGGCGCGGGCCGGAGGGUGUGUCCUGGUGCGCAGCUGGGAAUCAACCUCGUGGCCUCCAUGAUCGGGCACCUUCUGCACCAUUUCGAGUGGUCUCUGCCAGAAGGCACCAUGCCGGAGGAUGUUGACAUGAUGGAGUCCCCCGGAAUCGUCACGUUCAUGAGCACGCCGCUGCAGGCUGUCGCCAAGCCGCGCCUGGACAAGGAGGAGUUGUACAACAGGGUCCCGGUUGAGAUGUGA